GCCAAUGUGGUGUAGUGGUUUCAGCACUGGACUAUGACUCUGGAGAACAGGGUUCCAAUCCUGGCUUUGCCA